AUUGAACGCUAGCGGGAUGCCUUACACAUGCAAGUCGAACGGAGUGGCGAACGGGUGAGUAAUGUAUCGGAACGUGCCCAGUCGCGGGGGAUAACUACGCGCAAGCGUAGCUAAUACCGCAUACUAUUGGAGCGGCCGAUUUCGGCUUAGCUAGUUUGUGGGGUAACGGCUCACCAAGGCGACGAUCCGUAGCUGGUUUGAGAGGCAGACCAGCCACACGGGGACUGAGACACGGCCCAGACUCCAACGGGAGGCAGAAGUGGGGAAUUUUGGACAAUGGGGGAAACCCUGAGCCAGCCAUCCCGCGUGUGGGAUGAAGGCCUGCGGGUUGUAAGGCACUUUUGGCAGGAAAGCGGUACCUGCAGAAUAAGCACCGGCUAACUACGUGCCAGCAGCCGCGGUAAUAC
rnacentral:rRNA from 1 species